rnacentral:lncRNA from 1 species
UGAGGCAAAUGCUAUAUUUUGAUAAGAACUUGACGAGUGUAUAGAUGAAUGAAUUGGAAAAAGUAAACAUUGGUACAACUUUGGAUUAUAAGAGAAUUAGGAAAAGAAAACAUUGAUAUAGCUUUGGAUUGUGACACGAGAAAUGCAAAAAGCUCUAGAAUGUGACAAAAGAACUAGCCAAAUGAAACGGGUAAAACAAUUCGACUUAGAAUUAUAUGCUUGUGAUACAAUAACUAAGAAUAACUUUCAACUAUUUCUUGCAAAUAAGCACAUAACUCCAAUGGCUUACAGAACAUGGGCAUGUGAUCUGAACCCAAAAUCACUUUCACCUCAUCCGUUAGAUUAUUUUUUAUCAUCCAUCGCUGAAAAUCCUCUUCUAGCACAUUAUCUUUAUCACACACAAUAUAAACUCGACGAAUCGUUCCAUACUUUUCCUUAGUCACCGUUAUUUUCUUCAGCAAAUUUUCUCCAUUGAUGGGCCUCAUCAACAUGGUUGCAAGCAUCAAAUCCUAUGCUCAAAUUCAUCAUGGUUACAACUUACAAUAGUGUUUUUAAAAAUAAAAAAUAGAAAAACAUAUUCAAUAGAAAAUAUAUUUUAAUUGCUUUUAUUUGUUUUUAAGGAUUAUUUUAAAAAAUAAUUAUAUAAAUAUACAAAUUAAUCAAAAAUAAAAUACCACUUGUAAAAAUUAUUCUUAAAAAUAUUUUAAAUUCUCAAAUAAACUUUGAUCUUAUAAAAGAUUGAAAAACAGUUCAUGUGUCUACAAAAAAUUAAAUCGAAAAAUCUGUUUUGAAAGGCACAGCAAUACUUAGUCAUUAUGUCAUUUUGAUAUAUAUACAAGUGAGAAAAGACACGACUGAAUAUGAUACCUCAGGUGGGGAGAGCUGAUAAAGCAUGGCUGCCAAGUACUCCGGGCCAAAUAUCACGGAGGUUGGAGGAUUGUUGGGCCCUCUAUCGAACGUGUACUGCGUAUCCAUGGAAGCACCCGGACUUCUCUGGUGAAGCUGUAAUUCCAUAUGAAUAUUAAGUCCUUUUUUUGAACUCAAAUUGAUUAUCAAUUACAUAAUCAGUUAAGGAUGAAAUUCUCUAUACUCUCAAAUUUAAAAAAAAAAUCAAAUUAUAAUUGUAUUAUGUAUUUUUUUAUUUUAAUAUAUAUAAAUUUAUUGUUAUUUUGAAAUUUUUAUAUAAAUGCUUAAAAAAAAGUUUUUUAAAAAUCAUUAUAAAUUGAUUUUAAAUCAUGCAAUUCAAUCAAUCUAAUCAACCUAAGUCCAUUUCAAUCAAUUCGAAUUCAAUCUAAUCAAUCUAAAUUUAAAAAAAUUGAAGUUGUAUCGAAAUUAGUUUAAAUACCUCGGGUUAAAGAUUUAGUUAAGUUGAAUUUGCAUUAAUUAAUUUUUAAAUUCGAAUCAAGUUGAAGUAAGGAUCAAUCCCACCCAUGUUGCACACUGAAUUCCACGCCACACUGAAUGCCACGCGACUGGAUAUGGAGAAAGAAAAGAGGAUAAGCAACUUCACCUUCGGGAGAAACAACUCUAGAAUCCCCCAAAUUUGCGUGGGGACAGCAUGUACCCUUCUACCAACGUUAUUAAAAUCAUUUCUUGAAUGAAUACGAGUCCCUAGUUUUACAAUCAAGUGAACUUUGGUACAAAUAUCAUACUACAUUUUAUAUAUUUAAAAUUAAAAAUAGUUAUAAAAUGACUUUUAAACAUGAAUAUAAAUUUAAUUCCUUUAAUUAUUUUUAACCUCUGCCAUAUCAAUUACAAAUUAACUAAAUAUACGAUUAAUUUUAUUUUCCAAUAAAAAUUUUACCAAUAUUAAUUUUCAAUAGGGGAGGGAUUUGAGUGACUUUAAUCAAAUCCAAUCCAAUUUGAAAUUUUUUUUCAUGGACUUGGACAACUAAAUUUGUAAUUUAUGUAAUUUACAAUUUUUUUUUUUAAUCCAAUCAACAACGGGUUGUUUCUUAGCUGUUUUGAGUAAUAAUUGAAAAUAUAAAAGAUACUGUAAAACUUUUACAUUGUAAGUGUUGAAAAGAAUAUUUUUGAUAUUUGAGUUUUCAAAUAGAAUUCUAAAACUUCACGAACAGACGUAAAAAUUUUCAUAAUUCUAGGCCCUCUUCAGCUGUCUACUAUUGAAAGACUGAAAUGGAAACAUCCUUUUUGUCCAUGGAAAGAGUUUCAGAGAGAGUAUACCUCUUGAAUAACAGUGGGAAGAUUUAAAUCAGGACCCGGCAUUAGAGCAGCUACGAAAACUGCCACAGAAAUUUUCUGAGGGAACCUCUCCAUUGCAACCGAUACGCUGACCCCACCCAAGCUGUGAGCUACCAGGAUCACCUUUUCCCCGGUUACGAGUGAGGUCAUGAACUCAAUCAAUGGUUCAUAGUAGUCUGAAAUUGAAUUAAGCUCGUCUAAUCGCUUUCCAUUGGCACCGGCAGCCGCGAGGUCCAAGGCAGUGACUCUGUGACCAGCAGAUCUCAGCAAAGUUGCCACCUUAUACCAACACCAUGCCCCAUGACAGGCUCCAUGAACUAAUACAAAGUGCCUCUCCCUUUUCUCCAUCCUCCCCUGUUGUUGCUUUUACUAGUGGGUUUUUUCUUACUUUUAUAGUAUGGAACAGUUUCAUUCAGGUCCCAUAAGCCUUGAAUAUUUUAUGGUUUGGUGAUUGAGAUUGUUUUGUUCUUGGUUCCUUGUUUCGCAAGUGUGGCCUUGUGCAAGUUUGAGUCCUGUCGUUGGCUUGUAUCUUUACACUCAGAUAUAUAUGUUGAACCCUCCAUCGCUUUUGUUUGUUUUCAGAUAAGAGUUCUCUGUUGCCCAACCCCGCGCUCUUCAUAUAUCUAAGCAAUUUUAUGGAUCAUUUUGUGUUUGAUGAACUUCCCUCGCCUAAAAGAAGUACAGACGAAAAACAAUUUCUAAUUUGUUUCCUAGACUAAACGCUGCUCAAAUGUUCAAUUGAAAGAUGAAGACUACGUGGCCAAUAUGGAGUAAUUCAAUUAACGGCCACAAGAGAAUGGAUCUGUCACACCGGGUACUGACAUUACAACAGAACAAAGAUAUAAUGAUAUUGGUUGGAGCUGAACCUAUUGAAGGUGAGGCAAGUCCCUAUCUCAUAACUGAGUUUCCAAAGACGGAUUUCUUUCAACUUUGUUUUUUUCAAUAUCGCAGGCAAACCUGGAAUCUUCCCUCCCACUUAGACACUUGAUUCUAACCAAUCAAGACAAGCGGACUCUACAAAGUUUAUUUAAAUAUAUUUUCUCUUCGUAGUAUAUAGCAUAUUCCUUAUCAUAAUAAUAAUGCUACAACUUUCCAUGAAGCAAUAAAUGGCAAAAGAACCCCCAAAAAUUAAAAUCUUGGAAAUACCACUCUAGAAUCCUUGAGAAAUCCAGCUAACAGGUUGAGAAACAUUAUAGCAAGGUUUCUCCACCUCUCCUAGUAAUAAUUGAACUAGAAGCCACAGCUUGAGAGGGACCAUUGUGGGGGGCAACCGUGAAAGAUUUGGGCAGUCAAAGUGCUGAUGCACAGGUUCCGACUAUUGCCCAUUCCAAAAGUGGCAGAAGCUAGACUGUAUUCAACUCACCCACCCAGAGCAGGAAGCCUUGGUUGAGUGGAGUAUCCUGCUAGGAUCAAUAUUAGGCUGGUAUUGUUUUCGAUAUUCUGUAUUACUAGGGAAUUACAAGAUAGAAGUGAUAAAGAAAGAAAGAACGAAGAAAAAAGAAAUAAAAUAAAAGAGUUGAAUUUUCAAUUAUAUGAGGAUAUGGCUUCUCUUCCAUUCUCCCAAGUACCAUAGUGUGAGUGUGUGACAGAUAAAACAUUGCAUAAGCAAAAUUUUGACAUGGCAAAGUUUUAAUAAAAAUUACCCACUAAAUUAAAAGGUGCACCUCAUCAUAUAAAUGACGCAAUUUUGAGACUUCAAGUGUAGCUUAUCUUGAUUUAGUUAACUUUAAUGAUUUAAUUUCCAUAAAAUCUAAUAUGAGAAAGUCUCCAGAAAAAUGAGUGCAUAAUAAGAUGGUCAAACACAUAAUCCAGCUAUGAGCUAAAUUUACUUAAUAGUACUCUCAUAAAAAUAAAAAAUUACUUCCUGGUACAUGGUAUAGUUCCAUCAGUCACUAGGGGAUACUUUGACUUUUCAUUUUUUUUAUUUUUAUAACCGUGAAUGUUCGGACUGUAGUGCCAACGAAAGCUUUGAUGCCAACAAUGUUAGUUCAAGAACACAAAGAUAAAGCAAUCACACAUACGGUACACGAGGUUUUAACGUGGUUCGGCCAACCAUGCCUACGUCCAUGGAUGAGAGAGAAUAAUUCCACUAUACAAUAGAGAAUAUUACAGAGGAUAAAAUCAGAUACAACUAUUAGGUUCCCGAAACAUCUCAUGUUUCCCCACUCCUUGUAUCCAUACCUUACUACGAGCCCUCUCGCUCCACCAGGUACCUCCCAUUCUUCCUCACAUCUCUAUCCACCUCGUAUAGUCUCUAUAGACACAUCUCCAUCUCAUAACUUUUUCCCCUCAUGACCUAGAAUAUUUAUAGAGAUAUUUCCAACAACCUUCCUUAUUCUAUAAGGAAGUCUAAUAUUACAAUAAUAUAUCAACCUAGAAAUAUUCUAUAUAAUAUUCUUUACAAAAAAUGAAUCUAUACUAAUUAGGAAUUUGGGACACUUCCUAACACGGACCAGCUUACAUGCACCUCGACUAAUCCCAUGGGGCCCUAAAAUUAAUGAUCGGGUAAACCUCCAAUGGCCCUGAGGGGCCUCAAACUAGUGACCCUCAGGUCCCACAAGCCUUAGAUAUUUUAUGGUAUGUGGUUUAGAUUGUUUUGUUCUUGGUUCCUUGUUUCCUAAGUGGGGCCUUGUGCAAGUCUGAAUUGUAUGGAACAGUUUCACUGUAAAAUUAGAUUUUAUUAUAAAAUAUAAAAAAGUUAUUGAAAAUAUGUCUAUAAAUAUUCUAAGUCACGAGGAAAAAAAGUCAUGAGAUGUAGAUGAAUCUAUAAAUACUAUAUGAGGUAGAUAGAGAUAUAAGGAAGAAUAUGAGGUACCCGAUGGAGUGAAAAGGCUUGUGAUAUGGUAUGGAUACAAAGAGUGGAAAAAUAUGGGAUGUUGUGAUAAUCCAAUAGUUGUAUUUGGUUCACUCCUCUGUAAUAUUCUCUGUUGUAUAGUGGAAUAAUUCUCAAUCAUCCAUGUACGUAAGCAUGGUUGGUUGAACCACGUUAAAACCUUGUGUAUCAUAUGUGUGAUUGUUUUAUCUUUGUGUUUUUUAUGCGAUUACUUUUAUUAGUUAUUUUCAAAUAAUGAUAACUUGAAAAUUUAUCAUAAAUAAUUAUUUUCAUUUAACUAAAUAUUGGAUUAUUUCUUCUUCCGUUCAAUUUUUAAGUAUGAAGUAUGUCAUGUUAAGAAAUUUAAAAUGGAUCUACUUUGUUUACAAGUUAAGACAUUUUGAUUAAGGGAUAAAUAAUGAAUUAUAAUAUUUCAACUUUAAUUAAGUUGAUUUAUCAAUAUUUAAGCAAAGUUGGAGAAAAAAAAAGGAUGAUACCUAUAUUUUUGUCUUUCAAUAAAUUAACAUAUAGUUUUAGUCAUUACACCUAGUUAUUUCUUUUUUCUCUUCUUCUUCUUCUUUUUUCCUUUGUUUCUUUGACACGCAAUGGCAUACCUUUCAAGACUUUAAGCUCAUAAAAUUUUUCAAGUCUUCUCGUCUUAUCUUUUAAAAUUCUAGUCACUCAAAGUAUUUAAUACUUUUAGCUAUAACUUAUAAGAGUUUUGACCUAUUAAAAAAAUGAACCAAAAAUACUUUGCAAAAUAUUAAAAGUUCGGAAUUAUCUCUUUUAACUUAAAUGUGAGUGUUAUGUGUUCACUAAUUCGCAUAUUUGCAAUAUAACCUAGGAUGGUUGAGCUUUGUAACAUGCUUAUCACAAUCAAUUCAUCCUUCUAUAAUUUUUCUUUUCCCUUUUGGUUCUACUCAUUUUAAUGUAAAGAAGAACCAAAGCAUAUUUAUUAGUUGAUUUUACCCAAGGUUACACACCUGAAAAUUUUAUGCAUUUUUGGUCUAACAAGCUAUGAUACUUAGACCUAGCAUUACAUGUGAAAGAAAACAAAAAGUAAUAAUAAAAAUAUAAUUUUUGUGGGAAAAUUAAAAUUGCUAUGAAAUAUUUUAUUUUCUUAAAUGUUGUUUAGAUAUUGACCUAUUGGCUCGUUAAUUAAAGUUAAAAUACUCUUAACAUUUUUUUUUUUCAUUUCUUUUAUCAAAAUGUCUUGGUUGGGAAAUACUUGAAAUUUAAAUUCCUCUUAAGCUUCUAUUUCUCUAAACUCCAACGGGCUUAAGUAUUAUGAAAGUUUAUGAAUGAAUUGCCUAAUUUUCUUUCCCAUGCAAUGAAGUUAUAAAAAAUAAAAAUAAAAAUAAACUUGUUGAUUUUGGUAAUGCAAGUUGUUUUAGAAAGUUUAACUCUUUUUUCUAACCUGACUCAGUUUUACCCAUUUGACUCAAUGAUUAAAGUAUCACUUUGAUACAAUGAGUCAUUGGUUACUGAGUGAAACCCCUUAUUUUGCCAACAUGACAACAAGCACACAAAUCCUUAAAAAAUAAAUAAGUAUAAAAUUUUAGUAAAUCAUUCUAAUACAUAAUACUAAAUGUAAUGUUGAGGCAAAUGCUAUAUUUUGAUAACAGCAUUCCUCACCAAGUCAUGCCGUGUAUAAGAAAUUGACGAGUGUAUAGAUGAAUGAAUUGGAAAAAGUAAACAUUGGUACAACUUUGGACUAUAAGAGAAUUAGGAAAAGAAAGCAUUGAUAUAGCUUUGGAUUGUGACACAAGAGAAUUGCAAAAAGCUUUGGAAUGUGACAAAAGAACUAGUCAAAUGACAUGAGGAAAACAAUUCGACUUAGAAUUGUAUGCCUGUGAUACAAUAAUUAAGAAUAACUUUCAACCAUUUCUUGCAAAUAAGCACAUAGAUCCAAUGGCUUACAAAACAUGGGCAUGUGAUCUGAACCCAAAAUCACUUUCACCUCAUCCGUUAGAUUAUUUUUUAUCAUCCAUUCCUGAAAAUCCUCUUCUAGCAUCUUAUCCUUAUCACACAUAAUAUAAACUCGACGAACCGUUCCAUACUUUUCCUUAGUCACUGUUGUUUCCGUCAGCAAAUUUUCUCCAUUAAAGACAUUGAUGGGCCUCAUCAACGUGGUUGCAAGCAUCAAAUCCUAUGCUCAAAUUCAUCAUGGUUACAACUUACAAUAGUGUUUUUAAAAAUAAAAAAUAGAAAAACAUAUUCAAUAGGUAUUUUUUGAAAAUAUAUUUUAAUUGCUUUUAUUUAUUUUUAAGGAUUAUUUUAAAAAAUAAUUAUAUAAAUAUACAAAUUAAUCAAAAAUAAAAUACCACGUGUAAAAAAUAUUUUAAAUUCUCAAAUAAACUUUGAUCAUAUAAAAGAUUGAAAAACAGUCCAUGUGUCUUCAAAAAAUUAAAUCGAAAAAUCCGUUUUGAAAGAUACAGCAAUACUUAGUCAUCAUGUCAUUUUGAUAUAUGUAGAAGCGAGAAAAGACACGACUGAAUAUGAUACCUCAGGUGGGGAGAGCUGAUAAAGCUUGGCUGCCAAGUACUCCGGGCCAAAUAUCAGGGAGGUUGGAGGAUUGUUGGGCCCUCUGUCGAACGUCUACUGCGUAUCCAAGGAAGCACCCACUCUACUCUGAUGAAGCUGUAAUUCCAUAUGAAUAUUAAGUCAUUUUUUUGAACUCAAACUGAUUAUCAAUUACAUAAUUAGUUAACGAUGAAAUUCUCCAUAGUCUCAAAUUUAUAAAAAAAAAAAUCAAAUUAUA